GACGAACGCUGGCGGCGUGCCUAAUACAUGCAAGUCGAACGGAAAGGCCCUGCUUUUGUGGGGUGCUCGAGUGGCGAACGGGUGAGUAACACGUGAGUAACCUGCCCUUGACUUUGGGAUAACUUCAGGAAACUGGGGCUAAUACCGGAUAGGCGCUCCUGCUGCAUGGUGGGGGUUGGAAAGUUUCGGCGGUUGGGGAUGGACUUGCGGCUUAUCAGCUUGUUGGUGGGGUAGUGGCUUACCAAGGCUUUGACGGGUCGACGACCUGAGAGAGUGACCGGCCACAUUGGGACGAAGAGAGAGCCCAGACUCCUACGGGAGGCAGCAGUGGGGAAUAAUGCACGAUGGGCGGAAGCCUGAUGCAAGAACGCCGCGUGCGGGAUGACGGCCUUCGGGUUGUGAACCGCUUUCGCCUGUGACGAAGCAAGAGUGACGGUAAUGAAUAAAGAAGCACCGGCUAACUACGUG
rnacentral:rRNA from 1 species